rnacentral:rRNA from 1 species
UACGGGGGGAGCAAGCGUUGUUCGGAUUUACUGGGCGUAAAGGGCGCGUAGGCGGUCGUGACAAGUCACUUGUGAAAUCUCCGGGCUUAACUCGGAACGGUCAAGUGAUACUGUCGGACUAGAGUACAGAAGGGGCAACUGGAAUUCUCGGUGUAGCGGUGAAAUGCGUAGAUAUCGAGAGGAACACCUGCGGCGAAGGCGGGUUGCUGGGCUGAUACUGACGCUGAGGCGACGGAAAGCCAGGGGAGGCGAACGGG